rnacentral:rRNA from 1 species
AACGAACGCUGGCGGCAUGCCUAACACAUGCAAGUCGAACGAGACCUUCGGGUCUAGUGGCGCACGGGUGCGUAACGCGUGGGAACCUGCCCUUAGGUUCGGAAUAACUCCCCGAAAGGGGUGCUAAUACCGGAUAAUGACUUCGGACCAAAGAUUUAUCGCCUUUGGAUGGGCCCGCGUUGGAUUAGCUAGUUGGUAGGGUAAAAGCCUACCAAGGCGACGAUCCAUAGCUGGUCUGAGAGGAUGAUCAGCCACACUGGGACUGAGACACGGCCCAGACUCCUACGGGAGGCAGCAGUGGGGAAUAUUGGACAAUGGGCGAAAGCCUGAUCCAGCAAUGCCGCGUGAGUGAUGAAGGCCUUAGGGUUGUAAAGCUCUUUUACCCGGGAUGAUAAUGACAGUACCGGGAGAAUAAGCUCCGGCUAACUCCGU